rnacentral:misc_RNA from 1 species
CAAGUUCAGAACUUAUUUAAAAAAAUGAAUUAGAAGAUAUACUUGACAAGUUUAGAACCACUCAAACAUAUAGUAAAAGAAACGGUGGCGUUGACAGACUGUAGAUGGCCGGAAAAGCAAUGACUGGCGCAAGAUUUUUCCUUGCUACAUAAACUGCAUUUCACUAUCCAAGGUAGAGGUAAGAAUCAAUUGUGCCGCUAGAUUUCGGCACUAAAAACUGAGCCAGCGUUUAAAGAGAAACUUCAAAAAAAUGUAAACUAAUCAUUAUUAUUAUUAUUUAUAUUUUUUAAUGGGGGAGGAAUCUUUCACAACACUGUCUCCGUUGAGAAUCAUGACAGUUGAGACAGAGAACAAAAAACAAAAAUUUCAGAGAUCCACUUCGUAAAUCAAAACAAAACCCUGAAUAGAG